rnacentral:rRNA from 1 species
ACUGCCGGCGACAAGCCGGAGGAAGGUGGGGAUGACGUCAAGUCAUCAUGGCCCUUAUGUCCAGGGCGACACACGUGCUACAAUGGUCGGCACAGCGGGAAGCGAGGGGGCGACCUUGAGCGGAUCCCUCAAAGCCGGUACUCAGUUCGGAUUGCAGUCUGCAACUCGACUGCAUGAAGUUGGAAUCGCUAGUAAUCGUGGAUCAGCCAAGCCGCGGUGAAUACGUUCCCGGGCCUU